AAUGAAUGAAAAAUCGACAACGGCCAAUCGGGCUGGAGACCCCCACCAACUUCUCGCUUGGAACAGCCAGGACCACGAUGGGAAAUAAAGUUCGUUUAUUCUCAUCUACUGCCCAAUUGCCUCUUCUGGACUGAGGGGGUCAAUAUGGACAUAGUGGAGGAUUACAAAUACCUGGGGAUAUGAAUGGACAAUAAACUGGACUGGUCAAAGAACACUGUCUACGAGAAGGGUCAGAGCCAUCUCUAUUUCCUGAGGAGACUGAGGUCCUUUAACAUCUGCCGGACGAUGCUGAGGAUGUUCUACGAGGCUGUGGUGACCAGUGCUAUCAUGUUUCCUGUUGUGUGCGGGGGCGGUAGGCUGAGGGUAGCAGACAUCAACAGAAUCAACAAACUCAUUCGUAAGGCCAGUGAUGUUGUGUGGGUGAAACUGGACUCUCUGACGGUGGUGUCUGAAAAGAGGAUGCUGUCCAAGUUGCAUGCCAUCUUGGACAAUGACUCCCAUCCACUCCAUAAUGUACUGGUUAGGCACAGGAGUACAUUCAGCCAGAGACUCAUUCCACCGAGAUGUAACACUGAGCGUCAUAGGAAGUCAUUCCUACCUGUGGCCAUCAAACUUUACAGCUCCUCCCUUGGAGUGUCAGACACCCUGAGCCAAUAGGCUGGUCCUGUACUGAUCAUAAAACAAUCUGUUGAACUCUAGCUCCAGAGGAAUGCUCAUUGGGCCAGAUGAGCCUGUUACUGACGUGUAUCUCCAAAUAAAAAGUAAAAUUCAAAUUCUCAACAAAUUUUAUGCCAAAUGAAGUCUUUAUUUUACAUUUCUUCUUUGUGUCUUGCAUUGUCGUAAGGAAAUUAUGAAAAGAUUAAGUAAAAAUUUAAUGGCAUACCCGCAAAUUGAGAACCCUUUCUAUUGUUACUUGAAAAUAUAAAUGGAAAGCGGUUACAUCUCACAUUAAUUUAGAAGAUGCGUAUCAAACAGCCAUUUUAUGUAACAGCCUCAACACUUAUCUUGCAAAAUAAAAAUUCUGUAACAUGGGUGUGUUUUAGCCAUAGAAGUGCAAUAUAUUCCCAUUUACUGCUCAGGUAGCAAACUCUAUGAAAAUUUCAUUAUAGUAUUUGCUUAUAAUAAGAGUGUGAAGAGAGUGGUCAUGGAUAAUAAUUAUGAUUUGUAUUUGUGCACUUGGUGAUCAUUUGAAGUAUGUAAAGUAAU